rnacentral:tRNA from 4 species
GCUGAUGUAGCUCAGGGGUAGAGCACUUCCUUGGUAAGGAAGAGGUCUCGGGUUCAAAUCCCGAUAUCAGCU